UUAAUUGAAACCAAAAAGAGGUUUAUCACUGUUAAUGAUACCAUUGAGUGAAUACUCCAAUUAA
rnacentral:tRNA from 1 species